rnacentral:rRNA from 1 species
UAAUACGUAGGGUGCAGGCGUUAAUCGGAAUUACUGGGCGUAAAGCGUGCGCAGGCGGCUCCUUAAGUCAGAUGUGAAAGCCCCGGGCUUAACCUGGGAACUGCGUUUGAAACUGGGGAGCUAGAGUGUGGAAGAGGGGGGUGGAAUUCCAGGUGUAGCAGUGAAAUGCGUAGAGAUCUGGAGGAACACCGAUGGCGAAGGCAGCCCCCUGGGCUAACACUGACGCUCAUGCACGAAAGCGUGGGGAGCAAACAGGAUUAGAUACCCUGGUAGUCCACGCCCUAAACGAUGUCGACUGGUUGUUGGGGGUUUGACACUCUCAGUAACGAAGCUAACGCGUGAAGUCGACCGCCUGGGGAGUACGGCCGCAAGGUUA